AAGUGGUAAUCAUGAGGGAAUCUUUUGGCUGUCGGUAGGUGGCUAAAAUGGAUUGUCCUCCAGCCACCAGGUGACGCGAGUGUCUUCGUGAGGACGAAAUAUUUCGCAUUUGUUUCCGAGACGCUGACUGAAAGUGUAAUUCAAUUUCAUUAAGGAAUUGCGGUGUCGAUCUAAAUUUUCAGCCAUGAAAUGGCAAUCUGGCGUUAUAAUUUUACUUGGCCAAAUAAUGUGACGACGUGGGUGGAAACUGCUGUCCAAUGGUCCAAUGUCGGCCAUUGUUAACCUAUACGGCUGUCGGCUGCACGUCUUAUCUCGUGCUGAAACACUUCGGACUUUCGGAGCUAGUAAAGUAAUGUUGUUGAUUUUCCUGCAAUAAUGCAAUAGGUUUUAUUGGUUAAGUUUCAGAUUGGAGAAGGAGAUCCCUUUGCUCAACUAUUGCAGAACUUGUGAACACGACAAAGUCUGAGCUUCUUGGCUGUUCAUCAACAUGGUUUUGUUGCAGUCAGCUGGUGAAAGAUGUGAUCAAGUCAAGUUGAGCUGCAGGUGCUGCAUGCAGUUUAUCAAACUGGUGUUAUCCCAAGUGUCACUCCAGAAGACUUCUGGAAUUGGAGUUCAUGGUCAGUGUGAUGUUUGAGCUGUUUAUGGCGUUGCUGUUUGGUGUACAGUGGUUUUGCAGUCCUUUUCCAGUCGAGAGAUGCUCUGAAAUGGAGUUUGUGUAGACUUGCAGUUCAACAACACACUAAAAAUGUGUCAUUUGCCUAUGUUGGUGUCCAUGCAUAUGCUGUGUUGAAAAGUUGGGUUAAAUAGUCAAUGUUGCCUGAUGGCUGUCGGUCUUGUUUUAUCGGCUGCAUUUUGUCGAUAUGUCGUCUCUUGCUACCUGUACCGGCGUUGAGUUAAUGUUUGAUGUUUCGUCAGUUAUUGUCUUUUAAUUAAGAUCUGUAUUCUUUUUUU